UACGUAGGUGGCAAGCGUUGUCCGGAAUUAUUGGGCGUAAAGCGCGCGCAGGUGGUUUCUUAAGUCUGAUGUGAAAGCCCACGGCUCGACCGUGGAGGGUCAUUGGAAACUGGGGAACUUGAGUGCAGGAGAGAAGAGUGGAAUUCCACGUGUAGCGGUGAAAUGCGUAGAGAUGUGGAGGAACACCAGUGGCGAAGGCGACUCUUUGGCCUGUAACUGACACUGAGGCGCGAAAGCGUGGGGAGCAAACAGG
rnacentral:rRNA from 1 species